GAGUGGAGCUUGCUCCAUGAUUCAGCGGCGGACGGGUGAGUAAUGCCUAGGAAUCUGCCUGGUAGUGGGGGACAACGUUUCGAAAGGAACGCUAAUACCGCAUACGUCCUACGGGAGAAAGUGGGGGAUCUUCGGACCUCACGCUAUCAGAUGAGCCUAGGUCGGAUUAGCUAGUUGGUGAGGUAAAGGCUCACCAAGGCGACGAUCCGUAACUGGUCUGAGAGGAUGAUCAGUCACACUGGAACUGAGACACGGUCCAGACUCCUACGGGAGGCAGCAGUGGGGAAUAUUGGACAAUGGGCGAAAGCCUGAUCCAGCCAUGCCGCGUGUGUGAAGAAGGUCUUCGGAUUGUAAAGCACUUUAAGUUGGGAGGAAGGGCAGUAAGCUAAUACCUUGCUGUUUUGACGUUACCGACAGAAUAAGCACCGGCUAACUUCGUGCCAGCAGCCGCGGUAAUACGAAGGGUGCAAGCGUUAAUCGGAAUUACUGGGCGUAAAGCGCGCGUAGGUGGUUCGUUAAGUUGGAUGUGAAAGCCCCGGGCUCAACCUGGGAACUGCAUCCAAAACUGGCGAGCUAGAGUAUGGCAGAGGGUGGUGGAAUUUCCUGUGUAGCGGUGAAAUGCGUAGAUAUAGGAAGGAACACCAGUGGCGAAGGCGACCACCUGGGCUAAUACUGACACUGAGGUGCGAAAGCGUGGGGAGCAAACAG
rnacentral:rRNA from 1 species